AACACGUGGGUGAUCUGCCCUGCACUUUGGGAUAAGCCUGGGAAACUGGGUCUAAUACCGGAUAGGACCUCGGGAUGCAUGUUCCGGGGUGGAAAGGUUUUCCGGUGCAGGAUGGGCCCGCGGCCUAUCAGCUUGUUGGUGGGGUAACGGCCCACCAAGGCGACGACGGGUAGCCGGCCUGAGAGGGCGACCGGCCACACUGGGACUGAGACACGGCCCAGACUCCUACGGGAGGCAGCAGUGGGGAAUAUUGCACAAUGGGCGCAAGCCUGAUGCAGCGACGCCGCGUGAGGGAUGACGGCCUUCGGGUUGUAAACCUCUUUCAGUACCGACGAAGCGCGAGUGACGGUAGGUACAGAAGAAGCACCGGCCAACUACGUGCCAGCAGCCGCGGUAAUACGUAGGGUGCGAGCGUUGUCCGGAAUUACUGGGCGUAAAGAGCUCGUAGGCGGUUUGUCGCGUCGUCUGUGAAAACCCGCAGCUCAACUGCGGGCUUGCAGGCGAUACGGGCAGACUUGAGUACUGCAGGGGAGACUGGAAUUCCUGGUGUAGCGGUGAAAUGCGCAGAUAUCAGGAGGAACACCGGUGGCGAAGGCGGGUCUCUGGGCAGUAACUGACGCUGAGGAGCGAAAGCGUGGGUAGCGAACAGGAUUAGAUACCCUGGUAGUCCACGCCGUAAACGGUGGGCGCUAGGUGUGGGUUUCCUUCCACGGGAUCCGUGCCGUAGCUAACGCAUUAAGCGCCCCGCCUGGGGAGUACGGCCGCAAGGCUAAAACUCAAAGGAAUUG
rnacentral:rRNA from 1 species